AGGGAUGCUGCAUUGCUUCAGGAGCAGGCUCCGUCCGCGGUCCUCCAAGGUCCCCGGUGGUCCCCUCGCAGGGCCGGUGCACAAACUUGCUCCGCGUGCCGGAGGGAGGAGGGCGGGCAGCAGGCAGAGGGGAGCGAAGAUGACAAGUUAUUCGGAGAGUCAGGGAUUUGGUGGUUGUCUUAGUCAGUUAUUGCUGUUUUCAUUGGCUGGCAGGGAUCGGGGAGUUUCUGUCUGAACAGUUGUGUGUGUGUGCAUGUGCGUUUGCAUGUGCAUGUGCGUGUGUGUGUGUGAUUUUUGUCAAUUGCAAGAGAUCCACUUGCCAUGAGUUCUAGACCUCACAAGUCUGCAGGUUCUCUUCCCUUGCACUUCCUAGACCCAUAUGUGUUGGUCUCUGGCCAACUCGGGGAGAAGGAGUGCAGGUUUUAUGUCCUGGGGCUCACGGCCCAGCCGGAUGGAAGAAACUGGUGCCUUCAGCCCUCCACAAAUACACCCACCUCUCCUGUGCUGAUUGCAUGGCUGUUGGGAGGAAACUGGACCGGGGGUUCUCGGAGGGGAUAUCCCAAGACCCACGACAGCAGAAAAUUAAGUGUCUGAAAGAGCUCUGUAACUGCAAGAUGGUAUUGCCAUUCUUGGUCAUAGCAUUUCCUGGAUUAGUGAAGUAGGAAUAUCCUCCUUUCCCUCCUUCUCCUCUGAAGAGAGCUCCUCAGCUACUGUCUGUUGCUGCUCCCUCUGAAGGUCUUGGAGUUCCUUGGUGGUCAGCUCAGUGUUGUGGUCCUCCACCAACUCUUCCACAUCAUCAUCACCCAUCUUCAAGCCCAUGGACUUGCCUAGGCACAGUAUCCUCUACAACAGACACUGGCUCAUCCUCAGAGACCUCAAAGUCUCUUUCAGCAAUGGACUCAGGCCACAAUUUCUUCCAGGCUGAUUGCAUGGUCCUGGAAGACACGUGGCCCAUGCUUUGCCUAUUAGCCUCAAGCAAGUGAGGAUGUUAAAAUGUUCCUUCCAGAACUCCCUGAGUAUUAAAUUAGUUUCAGAGGUCACCUCAAAACACCUCUGAAA